GCGCUCGUAGUUUAGUGGAUAAAAUGUCGGUUUCCGGAACCGAAGACCGUGGGUUCGACUCCCACCGAGCGCA
rnacentral:tRNA from 2 species